AUUGAACGCUGGCGGCAGGCUUAACACAUGCAAGUCGAACGAUGAAGUCUAGCUUGCUAGACGGAUUAGUGGCGAACGGGUGAGUAAUGCUUAGGAAUCUGCCUAUUAGUGGGGGAUAACGUAGGGAAACUUACGCUAAUACCGCAUACGACCUACGGGUGAAAGGGGGCUUUUAGCUCUCGCUAAUAGAUGAGCCUAAGUCGGAUUAGCUGGUUGGUGGGGUAAAGGCCUACCAAGGCGACGAUCUGUAGCUGGUCUGAGAGGAUGAUCAGCCACACUGGGACUGAGACACGGCCCAGACUCCUACGGGAGGCAGCAGUGGGGAAUAUUGGACAAUGGGCGAAAGCCUGAUCCAGCCAUGCCGCGUGUGUGAAGAAGGCCUUUUGGUUGUAAAGCACUUUAAGUGGGGAGGAAAAGCUUAUGGUUAAUACCCAUAAGCCCUGACGUUACCCACAGAAUAAGCACCGGCUAACUCUGUGCCAGCAGCCGCGGUAAUACAGAAGGUGCAAGCGUUAAUCGGAAUUACUGGGCGUAAAGCGCGCGUAGGUGGUUAUUUAAGUCAGAUGUGAAAGCCCCGGGCUUAACCUGGGAACUGCAUCUGAUACUGGAUAACUAGAGUAGGUGAGAGGGGAGUAGAAUUCCAGGUGUAGCGGUGAAAUGCGUAGAGAUCUGGAGGAAUACCGAUGGCGAAGGCAGCUCCCUGGCAUCAUACUGACACUGAGGUGCGAAAGCGUGGGUAGCAAACA
rnacentral:rRNA from 1 species